UAUGUAGGCGGUUUCCUAAGUGUAAAGUAUAAAUGCCAAGGGCAGUCUUGGAGUAAUUUUCAAACUGGGAAACUUGAGUGCGUUAGAGGAUACAGGGAAUUACGGUGGAGGGGUAAAAUCCAUUGAUAUCAGUAAAUAUUACUAACUGGCGAAGGCGUGUGUCUGGGACGUUACUGACGCUGAGGUACGAAAGCAUGGGUAUCGAUCA
rnacentral:rRNA from 1 species